CGCACAUUGCGCCCCUCGGUACUCCGGGGGGCAUGCCUGUCCGAGCGUCCUACAUCCACUCCCUCUCGGGGUCUUGAGCCGUGCCGGCAACGUCAGGCUCCAAAUCCAGUGGCAGCACCGCGCGAGCCCGAGCGAAGUAGAUUGAUCUCGCUCCGGAAUCGCGGGGCGGCGGACCCAGCAAGCCUUCCACGCAUCAGGUGGACCUCGGAUCAGGUAGGAAUACCCGCUGAACUUAA
rnacentral:misc_RNA from 1 species